GGAUUAGAUACCCUGGUAGUCCACGCCGUAAACGAUGUCAACUAGGUGUCGGGCAGAUUUACUGUUCGGUGCCGUAGCUAACGCGUUAAGUUGACCGCCUGGGGAGUACGGCCGCAAGGUUGAAACUCAAAGGAAUUGACGGGGGCCCGCACAAGCGGUGGAGCAUGUGGUUUAAUUCGAUGCAACGCGAAGAACCUUACCAGCUCUUGACAUACAGAGAACUUUCUAGAGAUAGAUUGGUGCCUUCGGGAACUCUGAUACAGGUGCUGCAUGGCUGUCGUCAGCUCGUGCCG
rnacentral:rRNA from 1 species